GCCCGCCUAGCUCAACUGGCAGAGCACCUCACUUGUAAUGAGGACGAUCUCGGUUCGAAUCCGGGGGCGGGCU
rnacentral:tRNA from 1 species